rnacentral:rRNA from 1 species
CCCAGACUCCUACGGGAGGCAGCAGUGGGGGAUAUUGCACAAUGGGGGGAACCCUGAUGCAGCGACGCCGCGUGGGUGAAGGAGCGUUUCGGCGCGUAAAGCCCUAUCGGCAGGGAAGAAGGAGGACGGUACCUGACUAAGAAGCCCCGGCUAACUACGUGCCAGCAGCCGCGGUAAUACGUAGGGGGCAAGCGUUAUCCGGAUGGACUGGGUGUAAAGGGGGCGCAGACGGCAGCGCAAGCCAGGAGGGAAAGCCCGGGGCCCAACCCCGGGGCUGCUCUUGGAACUGCGCGGCUGGAGUGCAGGAGGGGGAGGCGGAAUUCCUGGUGUAGCGGUGAAAUGCGUAGAUAUCAGGAGGAACACCGGUGGCGAAGGCGGCCUGCUGGACUGCGACUGACGUUGAGGCCCGAAAGCGUGGGGAGCAAACAGGAUUAGAUACCCGAGUAAG